GUUCAAAAUGGCCAAAUGGUAAGGUGUCUCACUCGCAAAAUCCUUUGGAUCAACUUUCGCUAGACAACGACCAAUGACAAGGUUAGUUGUUCGAUUCAGCUAUGGACA